AGAAAUAAGAAGUGGAUCCGAGGCUACUACAACCCAGUGAUGUGGUGAAGAGCAGGGGCGGAUCUACAGCUAAGUGAGGGGGUUCAGAUGAACCCCCUGAAAAAGAAAAAAAUUCUACUUACCCCCCUAUAUAGUUUUUUUUUUGAACCCCUGAGAUUUUUCAUUUGCACCCAUAGACCCAUUGACACCUCUCUCACACACUCACAGACUCACUCAUUCUCAUCUCACGAGUCUCUCACUAGGUCAUGCCCUCACCCUCUUUCUCUCACUCUCAGUCUCUCACUAGAUUUGGCUGGCCGUCAUCACUCAUCAAGCACACAGCACGAGCACGGCUCACCACCGGCCACCAGCUCAUCACCACGCCACGCCACCACCGUCCACCCGUCCAGCCGCGCGCCUCUCUAUCUCCGUAUCUCACGAGAGGGUCACUGCUCUGCGUUGGGAAUCUGCAUUCAACUCUCAAGAGAAAUGGAUCUGUGGAAGACACAUGUGCAUUCAAGCAACUUGCAAGGUUCUGCUGCAAUUUUAAGUGCAGGAGAUGGCUAACUGGGAGGUGUCUUUGGCUAUUAUUUGUAUGUUUGAUGAUUGUUUGGGGUCCUUGGCUGGUUGGUUUUAUUAAGACAGUAGGGGACGUUGGAUUGGGUUUCUACUUGAGUGGUGAUUUGGCUUUGAUAGUUUGAUUGACUUCAAAGGAAAAGGCUUAAGACUCAUGUAUAUCAACUCUGUAACCUGAUUUAUCCACAGCGCUGGACGCCAUACAGUACAGGUCUUGGCUGUGGUUAAAAGGAAAAUUGAGAGGCUUUAAUUACUCGCAGUUUGAAUGGAUUACUAACCCCAUUGUUUGCUUGGAAUCAUGUAAAUUGGUUUAUCAGGAAGCAGGACUGGUUUGUUGGGUAUAUCAGAGCUGGCAGGAGCAUCAAAGUUGGGUGUGGCAAUUGAAAUACGUAGCUUGUGAAUUCCUGGACUUUGCUACUACAUGAUAGUAUAGGUGCUGCCUGCUGGAUUGUUGUCAUUGGACCCUAGGAAUGUUUAAUUCUAGUUUUGGAGAAUUAUCUUGAAGGGAAAGGAAUUCAGCUUGGUUUACCUAUCAGAUGCAUGUAGUGUAUAAGAGAAUUAGGACCCUUGCUGUACCUUCUUAGUGCUUUGUUCCAUCCUUUUAUUUUCUGUUUUUUCCAUUGCUUAUUCUUUUCUUGUAUUAAGGGUUAGGGUACCCCUUGUGCCUCCUAUUAAUACAAUCUUUUGGUUUACCAAAAAAAUGUAUAUCAACUCUGUAAUUGCAGUUUUAGCUAUUUUCCUUUGUUGUA